rnacentral:ribozyme from 1 species
GAAAGAGAUUGAAGAGGCGAUAAAGAUUUUUAGCAGGCCAAAGGUGUACAUUGCUGAUGGCUGACAAGGUUGUUUGUAUAUGUUUUUUUUUUUUUUUUUUUUUU